rnacentral:misc_RNA from 1 species
GUGAAUCAUCAAAUUUUUGAACGCAAAUUGCACUCUCCGCGGAGAGGAGGCCUGUUUGAGGGUCAGCCUAUAAAAAUCGACAUCGUUGCUGUUUCGCGUUGUCGUUCGGCGGAAAUUGUGGCAUCUUAGAUGCUUUUGGUCUUAAGCGACUUAAAAUUGUCUUUUUGGUUCCACGAACGUGGCUAAGAUUUAGUUCUUUACACGUUUAAGGUUAUCGAUUUUGA